UGGGGGAUAUUGCACAAUGGGCGAAAGCCUGAUGCAGCGACGCCGCGUGGGGGAUGAAGGCCUUCGGGUUGUAAACUUCUUUUGCUCUGAACAAGGCAUGCCCUUGGGGUGUGUUGAGUGUAGGGGUUGAUUAGCGCCGGCUAACUACGUGCCAGCAGCCGCGGUAAUACGUAGGGCGCGAGCGUUGUCCGGAAUUAUUGGGCGUAAAGGGCUUGUAGGUGGCUGGUUGCGUCUGUCGUGAAAGCUCAUGGCUUAACUGUGGGUUUGCGGUGGGUACGGGCUGGCUUGAGUGCAGUAGGGGGGGCUGGAAUUCCUGGUGUAGCGGUGGAAUGCGCAGAUAUCAGGAGGAAUACCGGUGGCGAAGGCGGGUCUCUGGGAUGUUACUGACGCUGAGGAGCGAAAGCGUGGGGAGCGAACAGG
rnacentral:rRNA from 1 species